CCUCUCCAAUAGAGCCCUCUGAAACCAUCAGUUGGCAAGAACACACUGAAAUAAGGUUGCCAAACCACGAAGAGAAAGACCAGAUUCAUGCCACGAGAUGGCACCAUUGCCCAGAGUUUCUACUCCGAAAGCCAACUAUUCCUAGCAGGAGCAGAAGCCAAUUUCACCUCUGCAAACAGGCUGGGACUGAGAACCAACGCUCGCCCCAGGAAUAACGAGUGCACCCCACUUCCGUUCUGCCGGCUCCUGGACCUGGUUAAACCGUGACACAGCUACUUCACAGGGAAUGGAGUGCAGAUGUGGUGGCUAAACUUCAACAGUCAAUCCUGAGACUGGCAAGGAAAAAGAGGGAAGGAAAGAAAGAGGUGUCUGAUGACUCUGUGGAGCCAUUAUUCCAGGCCUAGACAGGCUUUCCCCACUGCAGUGCAUGGAACUGUAGUGGUUGCAAUCUCAGCCCAGACACGUGAGUGACUGAGACGUCGAUGGUCUCAGUUUCCCCUGAUGCAUCAAAACCUCAAUUACCCCAUUCCACAA